rnacentral:rRNA from 1 species
CGCCCUUUUCCGGUUGAUCCUGCCGGACCUGACUGCUAUCGGAUUGAUACUAAGCCAUGCGAGUCAUUGUAGCAAUACAAGGCAGACGGCUCAGUAACGCGUAGUCAAUCUACCCUAUGGACGGGAAUAACCUCGGGAAACUGAGAAUAAUGCCCGAUAGAACAUUAUGCCUGGAAUGGUUUAUGUUUCAAAUGAUUUAUCGCCAUAGGAUGGGACUGCGGCCUAUCAGUUUGUUGGUGAGGUAAUGGCCCACCAAGACUAUUACAGGUACGGGCUCUGAGAGGAGUAGCCCGGAGAUGGGUACUGAGACACGGACCCAGGCCCUAUGGGGCGCAGCAGGCGAGAAAACUUUGCAAUGUGCGAAAGCACGACAAGGUUAAUCCGAGUGGUUUCUGCUAAAGAAACCUUUUGUCAGUCCUAGAAACACUAACGAAUAAGGGGUGGGCAAGUUCUGGUGUCAGCCGCCGCGGUAAAACCAGCACCUCAAGUGGUCAGGAUGAUUAUUGGGCCUAAAGCAUCCGUAGCUCGUUUUGUAAGUUUUCGGUUAAAUCCAUGCGCUUAACGUAUGGGCUGCCGGGAAUACUGCAUAACUAGGAAGUGGGAGAGGUAGACGGUACUCGGUAGGAAGGGGUAAAAUCCUUUGAUCUAUUGAUGACCACCUGUGGCGAAAGCGGUCUACCAGAACACGUUCGACGGUGAGGGAUGAAAGCUGGGGGAGCAAACCGGAUUAGAUACCCGGGUAGUCCCAGCUGUAAACUAUGCAAACUCGGUGAUGCACCGGCUUAAUGCGGCGCAGUGCCGCAGGGAAGCCGUUAAGUUUGCCGCUGGGAAGUACGUCGCAAGCUGAAACUUAAAGAAUUGGCGGGG